rnacentral:rRNA from 1 species
UAAGGUUGACCGUAAGGACAGCUGGAGACAUGGGAAGAGACUCUGUCGGCAUAAGUAGCGUAAAGACAGGCGAGAACCCUGUCCGCCGUAAGACUAAGGUUUCCAACGCAAGGUCAAUCCGCGUUGGGUUAGUCGGGCCCUAAGCCGAGGCCGAGAGGCGUAGGCGAUGGAAAGCUGGUUAAUAUUCCAGCACCAUGAAUAUCUCGUUUGUACGAUGCAGGGACGCAGGAAGGUAGUCGCGCAGCUCUAUGGAAUGUGCUGUGAAACCUGUCAAGGGUGGCGCUUAGGGAAGUCCGGGUGCCGUGAAGCUCAAGACUUGUGACGAAAGGCGAUGAUCCUACACUGCCGAGAAAAGCUGCUAAGGAGAGGUAUUUGUGUCCGUACCGCAAACCGACACAGGUAGUCGAGGAGAGAAUCCUCAGGCGUUUGAGUGAUUACUGCUGAAGGAACUCGGCAAAUUAACCCCGUAACUUCGGGAGAAGGGGUACCCCGGUAGGGUUCAUAGCCCGAGGGGGUGGCACAUAAAUGUUCCAGGCGACUGUUUAACAAAAACACAGGUCUCUGCAAACUCCAAAGAGGAGGUAUAGGGGCUGACACCUGCCCGGUGCCGGAAGGUCAAGAGGAGCGGUUAGCGCAAGCGAAGCUGCGAAUUUAAGCCCCGGUGAACGGCGGCCGUAACAAUAACGGUCCUAAGGUAGCGAAAUUCCUUGUCGGGUAAGUUCCGACCUGCACGAAUGGUGUAACGAUCUGGAAACUGUCUCCAGCAGGAGCUCAGCGAACUUGUAGCACCGGUGAAGAUGCCGGUUACCCGCACUUAGACGGAAAGACCCCGUGCACCUUUACUACACCUUGACAUUGAGGUUGGCAUUGUGCUGUGCAGGAUAGGUGGGAGACUUUGAAACUGGCUCGUUAGGGUCGGUGGAGUCAACGUUGAGAUACCACCCUGCGCAAUGCUGAUCUCUAACCCACACCCGUGAUCCGGGUGGGAGACCGUGUCAGGCGGGUAGUUUGACUGGGGCGGUCGCCUCCAAAAGAGUAACGGAGGCGUACGAAGGUUCCCUCAGGCUGUUUGGAAAUCAGCCGCAGAGCGCAAUGGUAUAAGGGAGCUUAACUGCGAGUCAGACACGACGAGCAGAUGCGAAAGCAGGUCAUAGUGAUCCGGUGGUCCCGCAUGGAAGGGCCAUCGCUCAACGGAUAAAAGGUACGCCGGGGAUAACAGGCUGAUCUUGCCCAAGAGUUCAUAUCGACGGCAAGGUUUGGCACCUCGAUGUCGACUCAUCACAUCCUGGGGCUGAAGCAGGUCCCAAGGGUUCGGCUGUUCGCCGACUAAUAGUGGUACGUGAGUUGGGUUCAGAACGUCGCGAGACAGUUCGGUCCCUAUCUAAUGUGGGCGCAGGAUAUUUGAGAGGAUUUGUCCUUAGUACGAGAGGACCGGGAUGAACUGACCUCUGGUGCUCCAGUUGUGUUUCCAAAUGCAAUGCUGGGUAGCUAUGUCGGGAAGUGAGAAGCGCUGAAAGCAUCUAAGCGCGAAACACCCCUCAAGAUGAGAUAUCCCCACGAGACCCGUCGAAGACCACGACGUUGAUAGGUCGCAUGUGUAAGUUCCGUAAGGGAUUUAGCUAAGCGAUACUAAUCGGUCC